GGAGGGUGCAAGCGUUAUCCGGGAAUUAUUGGGGUUUAAAGGGGUGCGUAGGCGGGAUGAUAAGUCAGUGGGUGAAAUCUUACAGCUUAACUGUAAAACUGCCAUUGAUACUAUCGUUCUUGAAUACAAUUGAAGUGGGCGGAAUGUGUCAUGUAGCGGUGAAAUGCUUAGAUAUGACACAGAACACCUAUUGCGAAGGCAGCUCACUAAGUUGUUAUUGACGCUGAGGCACGAAAGCGUGGGGAGCGAACAGGAUUAGAUACCCUGGUAGUCCACGCCGUAAACGAUGAUUACUCGGUAUUGGCGAUACACUGUCAGUACCCAAGCGAAAGUUUUAAGUAAUCCACCUGGGAAGUACGUCGGCAAACGAUGA
rnacentral:rRNA from 1 species